AGUGAACGCUGGCGGCGUGCCUAAUACAUGCAAGUCGAACGGAGAUUAAGUAGCUUGCUAUUUAAUCUUAGUGGCGCACGGGUGAGUAAUAUAUAGCUAACUUGCCCAUUACUAAGGGACAACAGUUGGAGACGACUGCUAAUACCUUAUACUCCGUAUCUAUAUAAGUAGAUACGGGAAAGUUUUUCGGUAAUGGAUAGGGCUAUAUCGUAUCAGCUAGUUGGUAAGGUAAUGGCUUACCAAGGCUAUGACGCGUAACUGGUCUGAGAGGAUGAUCAGUCACACUGGAACUGAGACACGGUCCAGACUCCUACGGGAGGCAGCAGUAGGGAAUAUUGCUCAAUGGGGGAAACCCUGAAGCAGCAACGCCGCGUGGAGGAUGACACUUUUCGGAGCGUAAACUCCUUUUCUUGGGAAAGAAUUAUGACGGUACCAAAGGAAUAAGCACCGGCUAACUCCGUG
rnacentral:rRNA from 1 species